rnacentral:rRNA from 1 species
UACGGGGGGAGCAAGCGUUGUUCGGAUUUACUGGGCGUAAAGGGCGCGUAGGCGGUCAGCACAAGUCAGUUGUGAAAUCUCCGGGCUUAACUCGGAAAGGUCAACUGAUACUGUGCGACUAGAGUGCAGAAGGGGCAACUGGAAUUCGUCGGUGUAGCGGUGAAAUGCGUAGAUAUCGAGAGGAACACCUGCGGCGAAGGCGGGUUGCUGGGCUGACACUGACGCUGAUGCGCGAAAGCCAGGGAGCAAACGGG